ACAUUCUAAUUUGCUUUUUUUUUUUUUGCAUUAGGAAGGAGAUAUUUUUUUCUUUUCUUUUGAGAAGAAAUAUUCCUUUUAUUCCUGAAGUUGGGAGAAGAAAUCUGACAGUUACUGAACAAGUUAUUUCACUCCUCGGCACUGAGCAAAGAGAAGUUAAAUGUUUCUCAGAGAGAGGUGCAGCAAAAGGGGAAAGCCUGUAGGAGGAGGGCAUGGCAGAUCUGGAAGAGAAUCAAAGUCAAGUUCACAAGAGUUAUUUCUGGUGAAGAAAUGUCAUGAUCAGGUCUGAAUGCAGAACAAUAUAAAAUUAAGAACUAAGUGCUUCAUCAAGUUUCUGCAGGGCCCAGCAUGACGUGGCUUUCCCUGCCUCUCUAGAUGUGAUACGCCUUCCUACUCCUGUCCUUUUGAGGUGUGCAUUUUCUGUCUCUAGUUUAACAUCAAGAGGAAACUAUUGAACAGGAUUUCAUAAUGACAGCUUCAGAGUUCAAGCUAGUGAGGUACAGAGACUGUUGCUCCUUCCCUGCAAAACAGCUCUGGAAGAAUGAAGGUAAAGAAGUGAAAAAACGGAAAUGAAAACAAAGCAGUGAGAAAUGGCUGAAGAGUCUGAAGUCUGUCUUGAACGCAUGCGGGUGAACAUCAAGAAGGCAGCCGCAGACAACGUGAAGGAGGUCAGAGGAAAGCUCUCCCUGCUCUUGCCUUUUCCCUUCAUACCUUGGGCAGAUACCUUCCACCUGGACGUCUGCAGGAAGAGCCCAGCCCCAGGUGUGUAUAGGAAGGGAUAACUUGGCAGUGGCAAACCUUGCUGGGGGAAUUUUGAAGAUCAGUGAGCGCUGAUCAGUCCCUCCUUGGACAAUCACUCUCUCUUUCUUUCCCCUUCUUGCCCUUAUAAUCAGUGAGUUACAGUUCAGGGAACCUGACUCCUCCCACUGUGGCACCCCCUAAGGCAGCACUUCUCAAACUGUGGUCCCAAGACCAGCAGCAUCUGCAUCACUAGGGGACUUGUUAGAGAUGCCAGUCACCAGGUCCAUCCUGAACAAGCCAUGCAAGAGACUCUGGGGGUGGGACCCAGCACUCUGUACUGUAAUAGGCUCUCUGGUGAUUCAGAUUCACAAUGAAACUUGAAAACCACCCCCUUAAGGGUCUGAAAGUGAAACACUGAGCAGCACAGUGGUAGGGACCAAGAGUGGGUCUAUGAUGCACAGGCUCCUGGCUGCCCUCAGAGUUUAUUCCUUAACCUGUUCCUGAAAUUCUCCGCCACUAAGCUGACUUUUGGCUCUUUAUCCAAAAAAUUACCAGAGUAACCGAUUCUCCCAAAGAAACAUGAGCUUACAGGUCAAAAUAACUUCAUAACUGAGGAGUACACACACUAUAAAUGAAAGACAAAAACCGGAACCAUCCAAAGCAGAGGUAUUACAACAGAAGUACAAAAAGAUUUAAAAUAAGUGUAACUCUACUUAAAAAGAUAAA